rnacentral:lncRNA from 12 species
GGGGAGGGCACCGUUAGAAAGAGAAGAGCCAUUAAUCACUGUCCCGAAAUAAUCCAAGUUGAAUAUCUUAUUGUUUAAUUAUUUUUAAUCUUUUGGAAAUACAGAGCUGCCCCAGGGUGUUUUCUUUUCUCUGUCCCUCCUACAGAACAGCCUGCUCUGGGAGCUCAAGUCCUCCUGUGUAUUCCUUGAAGUGGAUCCAAAUUCAUUACAGAUAGACUGUGUCGCGGACGUAGACGAUGAAGCUGCUGAAGAGGGUAGAGGAGGGUGUGUAAAAGGGAGAGCAAGCAAGCCACGGUAAGUAGCUAGGGCUAGUUGUCAAACUUGAAAGGUGAUCUUUGACCUUCUCAUGACUCAUAAAGCACUUUAUGACUCCCGCCCCUUGGUCAAGAAUUUUCAAGCUCAACAAAAGAGCUUUUAGCUCAAAUGCCAUUUAACCUAGCUUCACAGGAUGACUUAUUUUAGUUUCUGUGUUGACCAAGUAAAGUCCUUCACUCCAACUACCUAAUAGCCCACCACCUUGGUUGAUCCCAGGUCUGUUUGCCAGGUCAUGCACUUUGAACAGGCAUGGAACAAGCUUUUGACUGAAUCGCUCCUCCUUGGGAGUCCACUGAUGCUGGGUCCUCAGAGGAGUAUGUGUAAAGAGAGGCACAGCUGCAUGCCCAUGCUAACGAAGAAUGCAGAACCUGAGCUUCAGUUUUCUUCCCACUGACGAUGGAAGCUAAGGUACACAACUGGGAAACAAGUGUUUGGCACCUUUUCCACCUGCAGACAGGGUUAUGAUUGUAUUGAUGUCGAGCAUGGCUUGGAGAUUAUCAGGUCUCACAGAAUCGCAUUAUAACGAUAGGGAUGGUGCAUGGAGGAGUGACACUGUCCAAUGCCAUUGCCAAGAGCAGCCAGGCAUUAAGACGUUGUCAAGUCAGCGAAUAUCCUGUUAUAACCCCUCUUUGAGAACAGUGGGGCUCUUCUGGGUCCUCGGCUGCCUGAGGCCAGGGAAGGAAGAUGCGCCUGGUAGGACAGCGGCACCCAGGAAGCCAAGGUCUUGGUGGCAAAGAACAGUGGGAGGUAAAUGGGAUUGCCAAGAUUGUACCCAGUGCUUCCUGUGAGCUGGAUCUGCUUCAUGGGAUGCUGGGGGUGUGGCCGGGGGCAGAACUAGGGAGAAGCAUGAAGAAAAUCAAGGUAACUCUAGUCUAUAGGAAAAAGGGAAGUAUUGUUACUUUGGAUUUUUAAGUGAAUCAAAAAUUUCCUUUCGUUUCAUUGCUUAUAUUCAAAAAUAUGUCAGAUUUACUGUGAACUAUUCAUGGCAGGCUAUACACAGAAACUAAGUAACAACAUGGAUGAUUCUUAGCAAUAAAAUAUUUAGCGAUUUUUCA